CCUACGGGUGACAGCAGUGAGGAAUAUUGGUCAAUGGACGCGAGCCUGAACCAGCCAAGUAGCGUGAGGGAUGACUGUCCUAUGGAUUGUAAACCUCUUUUGUAAGGGAGUAAACCGCGCCACGUGUGCCUUUCCGCAUGUACCUUAUGAAAAAGCAUCGGCUAACUCCGUGCCAGCAGCCGCGGUAAUACGGAGGAUCCGAGCGUUAUCCGGAUUUAUUGGGUUUAAAGGGUGCGUAGACGGGAUGUUAAGUCAGCUGUGAAAUUUGGCGGCUCAAACGUUACUAACCAAUUGAGAUUGGCAGUCUUGAGUAAAGUAGAGGGAGGCGGAAUGCGUGGUGUAGCGGUGAAAUGCUUAGAUAGCACGAAGAACCCCGAUUGCGAAGGCAGCUUACUAAACUGUGACUGACAUUGAGGCUCGAAAGUGUGGGUAUCAAACAGGAUUAGAUACCCCAGUAGUC
rnacentral:rRNA from 1 species